UCAGUAAGAACAAGCUCGGUGUGCCAUUUCCUUGUCUGUAGCCAUGUCUAUGGGCCUUUGAGUUGGCCACCUGGGUGAGGACCUCAUUUUUCUA
ensembl:miRNA